rnacentral:lncRNA from 1 species
UGUUAUCCCAAGAAGAUAACACUUUUAUCCCCAGCAGUGUUGAAAAAACAAAAAUAAAAAUAAAAAUUUGAAUUUGAAGGAGGGGAAGAAAGGAGACUCCCACAGUGGUAUUAUCCCCAGCAAGCAAGAACAAAGCAGCGCAAAGGAAAAAGAAAAGAAAAGAAGAAAUUACUAAGGUAAGUUUCUCAAAUCAUUGAUCUUUACAUUUUCCUCCUAGGAUAAAAGUCCUAAUCUGAUGAAUUUCCUUCCCGAUACAAUCUUGGUCCGAUGAAAUUUUUCUCCCAAGAUAAGAUAUCAAAUCUUAGUCCGAUGAAUGUUUCUCCUAAGAUAUCAAAUCUUAGUCCGAUGAAUCUUUCUCCUAAGAUAGAAAUCUUAGUCCGAUGAAAUUUUCUCCUAAGAUAUCAAAUCUUAGUCCGAUGAAUCUUUCUCCUAAGAUCACAACAAAAUGGACCUAGUUUGACGAUUUAUCUCCUAGAGUCACAAUCUUGGUCCGAUGGAAUAUUUUCUCCCAAGAUAAGAUAUCAAAUCUUAGUCCGAUGAAAUUUUCUCCUAAGAUACCAAAUCUUAGUCCGAUGAAUCUUUCUCCUAAGAUAGAAAUCUUAGUCCGAUGAAAUUUUCUCCUAAGAUAUCAAAUCUUAGUCCGAUGAACCUUUCUCCUAAGAUCACAACAAAAUGGACCUAGUUUGACGAUUUAUCUCCUAGAGUCAAAAUCUUGGUCCGAUGGAAUUUUUCUCCCAAGAUAAUAUAAUAAAAUCUUAGUCGGAUGAAUCUUCUCCUAGGAUCAAAAUCUAGUCUGAUGAAUUUUCUCCUAGGAUAAUUUGAAAAAAAAGAAGAAGUUUGAAUUUGAAAAAAAAGUUGUUGAAAUCUCGCCAACCUAAUGAAAGGAAUGGCAUUUUAUUUUUAAAGUUGAAGUCAGGAGCCCGCCUGAAGAAAGGAAAGACGUUUUAUUUUAAAAGUUGUUAAAAUCUUGCCAGCCAAAG